AAAAGCUUUUCUCCAAACAAGAGUCCAAUGUAGAGCACUAGCGCAAGACAAUCUCAACCAAAGUAGUUUCAUGGCUUUCUAAACUUACCCCUAUGUAUUCGUUCUGUUUCCACGCAGCACACUAAAGACUUUAUAUCAGAAUUAUGUUGAGUGUGUGGUAGUCGUGAUUCCAUCCAUCUUGAAUUUGACGUCAUCCCACUCCAGGGAUGAGGUCAUCGCAUAGAACGCUCGUCACGUGCGCUGUGAGCUGAUAGGCUGCUUUAUACCAUGUAGGCGGGAGUGUAGGAUAUGACAGGCAGAUUUAACCAUCUUAAAGUGACAGGCCAUAUUUUCGUUCUUUGACAUGUGAACAGGCCCUUGGGAAGCAACACCAAUUCACUUUUUUUUUUUAAACUGUCAUAUUGCUAUCAGGUCAACAUCGCUGUCUCAGUUGCAAAAUAUCAAUAUUCUGUUCUUUAAAACCAUAGAUGGAUACUGUUAAAUUAUGUGGAAUUGCAUAAUUAAAUGCAGAAUGUAUUUUUCUCUUAUUGUUGAUGUUAUUUUUAUGUUGUAUCUAAAUGACGACAAUCAAAGCACGGGGUAAUAUCUGCAUUUGACAUUGGUGGAUGAAUGCGUUUCUCUGUAACCAGAUCCACUGUCCCACUGAAACUAAUUAAAGACAUGUGAUUAAAAAUGUCAUUAUGGCACCUCUGCUCUCCCUCAUUACAGAUACCCAGAGGACGCCUGUUGCUCUGUUUAUCCGACCACAUCCUGGAAAGUCUUCAUGUAGCACCGUACCUCACAAGCGGAUAAUCCAAGGAAGAUGCAUGGUCGAGAGUGCUUGCAGAGAAUGAGAGAGACAUUUGGAGUCGAGUUAAUGUGGACUUGACGAACAAUGAGGAGGCCUGCAAAACAGAAAACCAGUGUGGUUCGUCAAGCCCCCCUACUUGCGGAGUGAGGUGCUCACUUUCCUUAAUGGAAAACUACAGAGCUGCUUGGAGAGGGACCAGAGCUACUUGACGAGCCACAGCACAUGGAUCAUGUCUGGGGAGUUUCCAUUAAGGCAACCUACAGUGCAUUCGGUAAGUAUUCAGACCCCUUCCCCUUUUCCACAUUUUGUGACGUAACAGCCUUAUUCUAAAAUCAAAUUAUUUAUUUAUUUAUUUAACCUUUAUUUAACCAGGUAGGACAAAUUGAUAACACGUUCUCAUAUACAAUUGCGCCAUGGCCAAGAUAAUGCAAAAUUAAAUGUUUUCCUCAUCAGUCUACACACAAUACCUAGCACAUUUCUUACAAAUAAAAUAACUUAUUUUUAUAAGUAUUCAGACCCUUUGCUAUGAGACUUGAAAUUGAGCUCAGGUGCAUCCUGCUUCCAUUGAUCAUCCUUGAGAUGUUUCUACAACUUGAUUGGAGUCCACCUGUGGUAAAUUCAAUUGAUUGGACAUGAUUUGGAAAGGCACACACCUGUCUAUAUAAGGUCCCACAGUUGACAGUCCAUGUGAGAGCGAAACCCAAGCCAUGAGGUUAAAGGAAUUGUCCGUAGAGCUCCGAGACAUAAUUAUGUCGAGGCACAGAUCUGGGGAAGGGUACCAACAACUUUCUGCAGCAUUGAAGGUCCCCAAGAACACAGUGACCUCCAAGACUCUUCCUAGAGCUGGCCGCCUGGCAAAAGUGAGUAAUCGGGGGAGAAGAGCCUUGGUCAGGGAGGGGACCAAGACCCGAUGGUCACUCUGACAGAGCUCCAGAGUUCAUCUGUGGAGAUGGGAGAACCUUCCAGAAGGACAACCAUCUCUGCAGCACUCUACCAAUCAGGCCUUUAUGGUAGAGUGGCCAGGCGGAAGCUACUCCUCAGUAAAAGGCACAUGACAACCCGUUUGGAGUUUCCCAAAAGGCACCUAAAGGACUCUCAGACCAUGAGAAACAAGAUUCUCUGGCCUGAUGAAACCAAGAUUGAACUCUUUGGCUUGAAUGCCAAGGGUAACGUCUGGAGGAAACCCGGCACCAUCCCUACGGUGAUGCAUGAUGGUGGCAGCAUCAUGCUGAGGGGAUAUUUUUCAGCGGCAGGGACUGGGAGAUUAGUCAGGAUCAAGGGAAAGAUGAACGAAGCAAAGUACAGAGAGAUCCUUGAUGAAAACCUUUUCCAGAGCGCUCAGGACCUCAGACUGGGGCAAUGGUUCACCUUCCAACAGGACAACCACCCUAAGCACACAGCCAAGACAACACAGGAGUGGCUUUGGACAAGUCUCUGAAUGUCCUUUCGUGACCCAGCCAGAGCCCAGACUUGAAUCCGAUCUACUGUUUCUGGAGAGACCUGAAAAUAGCUGUAAAGCGACUCUCCCCAUCCAACCUGACAGAGCUUGAGAGGAUCUGCAGAGAAGAAUGGGAGAAACUCCCGAAAUACUGGUGUACCAAGCUUGUAGUGUCAUUCCCAAGAAGACUCAAGGCUAUAAUCGCUGCCAAAGGUGCUUCAACAAAGUACUGAGUAAAGGGUCUGAAUACUUAUGGAAAUGUGAUAUUUCAGUUUUAAUGGGGUAUUGUGUAUAGAUUGAUUAGGAAAUUAAACAUUUUUUAAAUACAUUUUAUUAUAAGGCUGUAACGUAACAAAAUGUGGAAAAAUUUAAGGCGUCUGAACACUUCCGAAUGAACUGUAUAUACCACGGACCAAUCAACCCUCAAAGCUAUAGCACCCCCAAUGGAGGCUUGCCCUGGGCCAAGCUGGAUGACUCCUUCAGUACUGUGCUUGAUCCUUUUGAAAACACUUUUGUUGAUCUUUGAAUUUUGAAUAGGCUUGUUCGUAUUCCUCCAUAUGAGGUAUACCCUCACCACUCUUUUUCCCAUGUAAGCAAAUAAGCACCACAUUUGAAAUUCAAUAAUUAAUUAAAGUGUUUUCAAAAUAAGAGCGCUGAAUACUGGCAGGAGUCAUCCAGCUUGGCACAGGGCUAGCCUCCAUGGGUUUUACUUUAGUUUCAGGCUCUGCUUAACCUAAAUACAGAUGCUAUUACCCACUUUCUCCUGCUCUACUGCAAUUAUUUGUCGUCCUUCAACAAGUGUAUUGAUGAGUUUUAUUCAAGGAACUAAGACUUGUUUUAGUAUAGAAAUGUCGUGAGGUGCUGGAAAAACCUUGAUAGUGAUGCUUGAAUAUUUAUUUCGGAAAAGGUUGAUUUGUGAUAUUAAUAAUUUUACAAAUAAUUAAGUCGUUUAUUAAUUCAUUCAUUCCUAAUUCACUGUAAGUCAUUCAUUUAAUAAUUCAUUGUGUUUUUACUAUACAAUUGACAGCACCUAAGGCAAGCUAACAAUGACUAGCAUUAGCAUUCAGUGGGGCGAAUAAAUAUGUGCAACCUUGAGCAAGUGCACGGCCAUUUAAUGACAUUCAUGGGAGAAACGUGGGCGGACGUGGAAGGAGAUGUAUUGCAACUGACGUCAAAGGCGUGCACUGGAAUUUCAAGAUGUGUCCUGGUAUGUGGGUGGACAUGUAUGGUAGUUUCUGGGGAUUUUACUGAACUAUUUCCGGACAUAUUGUAUACAUGUCCGUGCAUGUCUGCGCACAAAAGUCCGUUAUUUGAGAUUUACGGGACGUGUGCAGGGCCAAACACUGCUGGACAAGUGCACACAAACAUUUCCAGAAACUAUACCCUUUCGGACUUGUGCACUGGAGCGUACGGCCUGCAAAUGUGCCUUUCGUGCAGUGAUAUGCCCCAGUGCCUCAGAGUAUCAUAAUUGAUUCAGUCAUAUUCCUGAGGCUAGGUUUAUUUGCUUAAUAUGUUUAAUAGUUAAUUUUCACACCGCAUUAGAAUUAGUUGUGAUGAGUGAAUCUUUAAAAUUCCAGAGGUUAUAGAGAUCUUUUUAUGGAAGGAUGGAGCAUGUAUUUUGUUUUACAGUCUUUGAGGGAAAAGUGACACAAUUUCUAAAGCACCUACUUUUCCUAGAGAACUUAGUUAUCAAAUCAAAUUAGCAUUAUAACCAGCAGAAGAUAUUAAUAUUUCAUGAAUAGCUGCUACUCUCUGUUUAUCAUAUAUGCAUAGUCACUUUAACUAUACAUUCAUGUACAUACUACCACAAUUGGGCCGACCAACCAGUGCUCCCGCACAUUGGCUAACCGGGCUAUCUGCAUUGUGUCCCACCCACCACCCGCCAACCCCUCUUUUACGCUACUGCUACUCUCUGUUCAUCAUAUAUGCAUAGUCACUUUAACCAUAUCUACAUGACCAUACUACCUCAAUCAGCCUGACUAACCGGUGUCUGUAUGUAGCCUUGCUACUUUUAUAGCCUCGCUACUGUAUAUAGCCUGUCUUUUUACUGUUGUUUUAUUUCUUUAUCUACCUAUUGUUCACCUAAUACCUGUUUUACACUUUUGGUUAGAGCGUGUAAGUAAGCACUUCACUAUAAGGUCUACACCUGUUGUAUUCGGCGCACGUGACAAAUAAACUUUGAUUUGAUUUGA